CUUCCUUUACCAAGCAAAUUAGCUUCUGAAAAUCCAUUGGUUCCAUUUUCUAGUGUCUGGUAAGAAACUCUUUCAUAGUGUUCCUCGAUUUUUGGUGGUUGGAAUGACCUCGUCUGCCUUUGUCUAAGCUUCUUGCAGAUCAAUUGAGCAGCAAUAGCAAAAGCUAAGAACAGGAGUGCACCGGUUGUUGCUAGGCCUAUUGUAAGAGAUUUCAACUUCUCUUUUUUGUUACUUUUCACCACAUUUAUGUGGCACGGAGGUAAACGAAGCUCAGUUACCCCACCACAAAGAUCAUUAUUUCCAGUAAUUGACAAGUUAGCCAAAAUUUUGAAUAUCCCCUCUUUUGGCACUUCCCCUUGCAGAUUGUUGAAGGAUAGAUCUAAUUCUGACAAUGUCAAGUUUUGCAAUAUUAUUGGGAUUGUCCCUGACAAAUUGUUGUGUGCCAGAUACAACUGUU
rnacentral:lncRNA from 1 species